rnacentral:precursor_RNA from 10 species
GCGUGACGUCAUCCGUCUCUGACCAUACUGCAUCAGUGGUUUCUGCUGGUAGUACCUUUCAUAUACCUAUCAGCAGUUGUACCACUGACGUCACGUGGCAGGAGUGUCAGCCGUAUUGACGC